rnacentral:rRNA from 1 species
CCUACGGGAGGCAGCAGUAAGGAAUAUUGGUCAAUGGACGCAAGUCUGAACCAGCCAUGCCGCGUGCAGGAUGAAGGCCCUCUGGGUUGUAAACUGCUUUUAUCUGGGACGAAAAAGGGGCAUUCUUGCUCAACUGACGGUACCAGAGGAAUAAGCACCGGCUAACUCCGUGCCAGCAGCCGCGGUAAUACGGAGGGUGCAAGCGUUAUCCGGAUUUACUGGGUUUAAAGGGUGCGUAGGUGGGUAAGUAAGUCAGUGGUGAAAUCUUCAAGCUUAACUUGGAAACUGCCAUUGAUACUAUUUAUCUUGAAUACUCUGGAGGUAAGCGGAAUAUGUCAUGUAGCGGUGAAAUGCUUAGAUAUGACAUAGAACACCAAUUGCGAAGGCAGCUUACUACAUAGUUAUUGACACUGAGGCACGAAAGCGUGGGGAUCAAACAGGAUUAGAUACCCUGGUAGUCCACGCCCUAAACGAUGGAUACUCGACAUCAGCGAUACACUGUUGGUUGUCGUGAGCGAAGACGAGUUAAGUUAAGUACCUAACCGUACGGGUAAGGUUAACGGACCGACCGAACGGUUAGGUAACGUUACGAAGUUAGAAGUUAGACGGCGUUGAGACGUUGCCGACGGACGACGACGAGGGAGGAGGAG